AUUGAACGCUGGCGGCAGGCCUAACACAUGCAAGUCGAGCGGAGCGGCGGACGGGUGAGUAAUACCUAGGAAUCUGCCUGGUAGUGGGGGAUAACGUUCGGAAACGGGCGCUAAUACCGCAUACUAUCAGAUGAGCCUAGGUCGGAUUAGCUAGUUGGUGAGGUAAUGGCUCACCAAGGCUACGAUCCGUAACUGGUCUGAGAGGAUGAUCAGUCACACGGGACCUGAGACACGGGCCAGACGCUUAUGGGAGGCAGCAGUGGGGAAUAUUGCACAAUGGGCGGAAGUCUGAUGAAGAGACGCUGAGGGGGGAAUGAACGCCUACGGGGUGUAAACUCCUUUCGACAGGGACGCGGUACCUGUAGAAGAAGCACCGGCUAACUACGUGCCAGCAGCCGCGGUAAUUC
rnacentral:rRNA from 1 species